UCAUCUCCGGGGGUAGAGCACUGUUUCGGCUAGGGGGCCAUCCCGGCUUACCAACCCGAUGCAAACUGCGAAUACCGGAGAAUGUUAUCACGGGAGACACACGGCGGGUGCUAACGUCCGUCGUGAAGAGGGAAACAACCCAGACCGCCAGCUAAGGUCCCAAAGUCAUGGUUAAGUGGGAAACGAUGUGGGAAGGCCCAGACAGCCAGGAUGUUGGCUUAGAAGCAGCCAUCAUUUAAAGAAAGCGUAAUAGCUCACUGGUCGAGUCGGCCUGCGCGGAAGAUGUAACGGGGCUAAACCAUGCACCGAAGCUGCGGCAGCGACACUAUGUGUUGUUGGGUAGGGGAGCGUUCUGUAAGCCUGUGAAGGUGUGCUGUGAGGCAUGCUGGAGGUAUCAGAAGUGCGAAUGCUGACAUAAGUAACGAUAAAGCGGGUGAAAAGCCCGCUCGCCGGAAGACCAAGGGUUCCUGUCCAACGUUAAUCGGGGCAGGGUGAGUCGACCCCUAAGGCGAGGCCGAAAGGCGUAGUCGAUGGGAAACAGGUUAAUAUUCCUGUACUUGGUGUUACUGCGAAGGGGGGACGGAGAAGGCUAUGUCGGCCGGGCGACGGUUGUCCCGGUUUAAGCGUGUAGGCUGACUUUCCAGGCAAAUCCGGAAGGUUAAGGCUGAGGCGUGAUGACGAGGCACCACGGUGCUGAAGUGACAAAUGCCCUGCUUCCAGGAAAAGCCUCUAAGCAUCAGGUAACAUUAAAUCGUACCCCAAACCGACACAGGUGGUCAGGUAGAGAAUACCAAGGCGCUUGAGAGAACUCGGGUGAAGGAACUAGGCAAAAUGGUGCCGUAACUUCGGGAGAAGGCAC
rnacentral:rRNA from 1 species